rnacentral:pre_miRNA from 1 species
AAUAAGUGCAGUUUUGCACUAUUCACAUUCAACGUUUGACCGUCCGUCUUAUUUAAAAAUUUUUUAUGAUUAGUAUUUUUAUUGCUAUUAGAUGAUAAAACAUGAAUAGUACUUUAUGUGUGACUAAAUGUUUUUAAUUUUUUCACAAAUUUUUCAAAUAAGACGGACGGUCAAACGUUGAACGUGAAUAGUGCAAAACUGCACUUAUU